rnacentral:lncRNA from 1 species
AUGUUGGAGGAAGAGAAAACACCUGCCUCUUUCCUUCCUGCCAGGGAUGGACCAGAGUCCUCAGAGUUGUGCUACUAUCCCUACUCUGUGGACGUCCAAGUCUCUGUCUCUGAUGUUGAAUUCCAGUGUCCUCCCAUGGCCAUGAUCCCCCAAACAGCAACAGACCUGUUGUUUUGUUGUGUUUUGGUAGAGGAGGAGGCAGGUGCUGGGGACCUUGAUUCCACCUUCUUGGCCCAGCUUCUGCCAGACAUGGGGAGAAGUUGCUACUUGGCUGUAUGCAUGAAGGAGGAGAAUAGGGUGAAAGGUAUGAAUAAAUGUUUAUUGCCCACUUUAGAUUCUUGGUAGCUGGUA